UUAACAGAAGUCUGUGUUCUGCAGUAAACAUACAACAGAAAUGGGUUAUACAUGUUAUGCAGAACGUAACCAAUAUAUUCAGUAAAUAUCAAAACUAAAAAAUGAGAAGUGAGCAGAAGUGAGCACAUCUUCACCUAAAUUCUACUUUCUCAAACUGAAAAUGUCAUCCCUCAGAUUUUGAUGAAAUGCAUUGUUUGAAAUGCUGUUCUCUUUUCUAAUAUUAUUACAAGUGUUUUAACUGUUGUUGUAUUUUGUAUUUCAGAGCUACAAUAGAGCAUCGGUGCAGGCCUCUGUCCACCCGACAAGAGAAAAACACAAAUCUUAAAGCAAACAAGAACAACAAAUAGGUAAUCUCACUAUAAUCCCAUCAGCGAUGAAGAGGAUGGCCCCACCCAGAGCGUGGAGAAUGAAGAAAGUAGCAGGGCGACCCCGGAGUUUGGCAGGGUUACAGCAACCAAACACACUCCCCUGACCUGGAGAGAGAGGGACACUGAGGAAGAUGGCGGAGUCCCUCUGGUACAGCUUCACCAGCUGGAGGUUGGCAAUGGUGUCAAUCACUCCCAUGGCUAAGCCAGCAAUCGCCAUGGCGAUAGACAGCAGUGCCACGUGGUCACAUAGCGG